ensembl:lncRNA
GUGUUCUGAGGGUGUACUGGGGGUGUACUGAGGGUGUACUGAGGUGGUACUGAGGUGGUACUGAGGGUGUACUGAGGGUGUACUGAGGGUGUACUGAGGUGGUACUGAGGUGGUACUGAGGUGGUACUGAGGGUGUACUGAGGGUGUACUGAGGGUGUACUGAGGUGGUACUGAGGUGGUACUGAGGUGGUACUGAGGGUGUACUGAGGGUGUACUGAGGGUGUACUGAGGUGGUACUGAGGGUGUACUGAGGGUGUACUGAGGUGGUACUGAGGGUGUACUGAGGUGGUGCUGAGGGUGUACUGAGGUGGUGCUGAGGGUGUACUGAGGGUGUACUGAGGGUGUACUGAGGUGGUGCUGAGGGUGUACUGAGGGUGUACUGAGGGUGUACUGAGGUGGUGCUGAGGGUGUACUGAGGGUGUACUGAGGUGGUGCUGAGGGUGUACUGAGGGUGUACUGAGGUGGUGCUGAGGGUGCACUGA